rnacentral:lncRNA from 1 species
CCUUCUUCUUCUUUUAGUUUUCUAGAGAGAGAGAGGAGAGAAAAUGAGAGAGGAGUGUGUGUGUGUGUGGCUGCUGAGGGAGAGGGGUAUUUGGGGUGUUAUAGUGUUGUAACAAUUGCAACUAAACCCUCCACAAAGUCUUAUUUGCAUCAGACUUCGAAAUGCUGUCUGGGGCCCCUUGUACCGGUACACGGGUUCUUGUACCGGUACAAGGCCAAUUAGCAGGCCAAACCCGAGAGCUCGGUUCUCGGUUUCGUCGGGCUUGUACCGGUACAAGGUCCCUUGUACCGGUACAGCGCCUGAAGCCCAGCCAAACCCGAGAGCUCGGGUUCUCGGUUUCGUCGGGCUUGUACCGGUACAAGGGGACCUUGUACCGGUACAGCGCCUGGACUGCACAAACCCGAGGGCUACUGAGCUCUGGUCGCUGCUUGUACCGGUACAACCAUCACCCUUGUACCGGUACAAGACGCCCAGAAUGCAGUUUUGACUUCGAUUCAGCUCUUCUUCGCGCCGGUUGACGCCAAAACCAUUUUAACACUUCUCUAACUUAUUUUUCGCCCUCUCAAACUUGUCGGGCAACAAGAGAAACUUGUCCAUCGCUUUCCUUCGACGCUUUAACCAAUUUGGCCAAAGCUCGAAUAUCGUUUUCGGGUUUUGAUACGUUACACACACACACACACACACACACACACACACACACACACACACACAUAUAUAGUACUCUAAUGCACAGGCGUGUUCACUGCCUAGGGCGCUAUUCCCUUGUCACGAUCCACAGCCGCUCUUCUAGGACUGAGAUCUGCAAAAUAAUGGGGUGAGAACUAAAAAAAGUUUCCAGUGGGUUCGCCCGCCGACCCCGCCGAUUUUUCCAUUAGGUUUAAAUUGGUAUAAGUAGAAAAGGAAAGCAAAACUAAUAAAUAGUAACAUUCUACUAUGCCUCAACAAUAUAAUAUGAUGAAUAAAGUAACCAUUAUGCUCAUGAUGCAUGUCAUUCAAAUCCUUAUAACUCAAUCGUACCGACUAACCCAAAGGUUGAGCCCAACUCACAACCAAUCUCAUAGAUGAGAAGACGUCCACUACACUCAUCGGGAAUCGUUUACUGGGUAACUACGUUAACUCAGUGUGUGACCACUCUGGAGCUCACUGCUUGGGUGGAGCGACCACUAACAAGCCGACAGACAAUAUGUGAGUAUGAUCCAAUCUUCCAACUAGAGAAUACCCUACCAACUAGGGCAACAAUACUCGGGGAUCUAUCCAUCCCUAACAUUUAAGGUCAUGAGUGCUAUCAACAUCUCUAGUCCAAAUGCCAUCGUUCCAUGUCACUAUAUUGUUUAAGUUCACAUUCGGUUCAUGGCACUAUAGAGUUUUCAAUAUUCAAGACCCAAUACUCAUGCAUCUAACAUCUAUGUUCCAUUUCAUAUUUUCUACCUUUACCACAAGAGAAUAUAAGGAAUUGAGUACACAAUACAUACUACUCUACAAUGCAUGAAUUCUACACAUGUACAUAUAUGGCCAACAAUAGUAACAUAGACAUAGAAAGAAAUCCAACUGUUUCGAAUAGCAACACCCACCUUAUAUCGAUGCUAAUAGGCGAGAAACCAAGCCCCGCGAUUUAUCGACACCAUUUUGGCUCGACCCAAGAGUAACGAAGGCAAAUUGGUGUUUUUCUCCAACGGAACGUCGUAGGCUCAUAGGAAUUUCGAUUUAAGUUGCCCAACAUGUCGAUUUAUUUUUCAAUUAAGGAAUAAAGGGGUCAAUUUCAUUAUAAACCUCAUAACCUCAAAAACCCUAAUUGUACCCUAGCUUUUUCCGCUGCGGAAAGCUCUGAAACAAAAACAAACAAUCAAUGGGGGUGAGAACUAUUAAACAAUAGUUCUCAAUGGGUAAGCCGCCGAGAGUGGCGAAAUACACAACUAGGUCAAUUGAGGCAUGAUAAUUUACAUUAUGUAAGCAAACAUAAGGAUAACAAGUAAAUUAAACAAAUUCAUUUCUAAGUCAUGCCUCUACUUGAUAAAGUUAACCAACAGCUAUAUGAUGUUCUAAUGUCACAUGUUCAGAUAUAUGCUUAUGUAGGUUUACAUGAAUGUUCAUCUUUACCAUAACACCGCGAAGAGAAAAUUUGUAGUGUACCGGAUUUUUAAUAUAAAAGUAAAUGUAAAUAAAAAUAGUGUGAAAUGCUAUUUUUAUUAGACUUAAAGAAGUAAAAUAUAAGUCGGAAAUGACUUGUGCUGAAGUUGGAACGGAAACAGAAAAUUUAGAAUUUUCUGUAAGAAACGGGGCUGAUAUUUUAGCAGAAAAUUCACAGUGUCGAAAAAUUAUGAAAAUUUGAGAAUAUGUCGGAAUUAUUUUUAUGAGGCUAGAUCUAAAGUUUCAUGUCAUUCUGACACCCAAAAAGUGAAAAAUAAAAUAUGACUGUUAUUUGUUAGAGAUUUUAGUCGGUAAAGCUUUUGGCGACAAAAAAUGGUUGGAAACUGAGAAGUUAAGAUUUCGUUCUUCUUGUUAAUUUAAACCGAGCCUGACUGUCAAAUUUGAGCGUAAACGAACAUUCAGAAGGGCUCCAGCAAAAAAUAUCAGUGUCACGCCCCGCUCCCCGCCAAUUUGGUCGGGUUCGGGCCACGUCAACAGACCCCGAACAGACAGGGCCUUCCCUGCCCGCCCAAGGCUCCAACCACAAGUAUAAUUAAGUAAUCAAACAAAGAGAUUUGCAAUUAUAUAAGGCUUGCACGAGGGCAAGGAACAACGGAAGCGAGCUCUAAGCUAAAACAUACAACCAUACAUAAUAUUUGAUUACAUUUAAACUAAAUACAAGUAAACUACAACUAUUACAUUCUUUUCCCUUUCAUUCAUAAAUUAUUUUACAUCUUAAUCAUUUUACCAAAAAUACAUGAUUUGUUUUCAACUUAUACAACUAUAGAUCAACAAACUAAAAGUUGAUACAUGUACACAAAAGGAAUGACUAAUAUGCAAGUACUCUGGUGGCCACUAGCUAUAGCGCGAUACCCUUGCCUCGAUCCUCUGCCGCCCCGCUCGCGCUCGGAUCUGUAGGGUUAGUGGUGUGAAACUACAACAAAGUUCCCAGUGGGUUCGGCAACCGACUUCGCCGACUUACCCACUAGGUCUAUUCAGGUAUAAGUAUUUCUAAGGAAAGGAAAACUGUAACCAAUGCUAAUGCUAAUACUAUACCUGCAAGAAAGUUGUCAGAAGAUAUAUAAUCGAAUAAGGAAUGAUUAUGCAUGCAUGCUUUUUCAUGAUUUUACUUUGGCUUUUUACCCAAUCGUACCGGUUAACGUUGUUAACCCUAAUAACUCACAACCCAAAAUUCCUUUCAUUCGGGGAGGCUCUAAGCACUACAAGACCCAAGGGACCGUCUUCGGGCACCGCGCUCCCCGUGAUGACAAUUCCGGAACGCACCGCUUGAGGGGGAGCUACCACCCUCAAGCCAAGACUUAUCGUGAGUAUCGAUCCAAUUUUCACUUAGGAAAUGUAUAGCCACUAGUCACAAUGCCACUAUCAUAAUAGGUUUCUACCUAUUUGUUCAUGUCAUUUUCUAAGUCAUUCUUAUCACAAUGUCACUAAUUGUUAAACCUUGUUUAACGAUUCAUGUCUCGAUGCCAAUCAUGUCUCUAAUGUCAAUGUCAUCUUUGUUUACUACUAUCAUAGUCCGGGUCUCAUAUUCAUACAAGUAUAGGGUUCCUCAAACAUGUCCCCUAUGGUUCAUAUCAUUCUCUAUGUUCAUCUACGUUAGAAGCAUAUAAAUGAAAUCAAACCAACAUUCACAUGUGUUAUGCCCUAUCAUGCAUGAAUAACUAUUGACAUAUGCUUAAAAAGGUGAUAUAGAUAUAGAAGGGAAUCCAACUAUUCCGGCGUGCACCCCCCACAUGGAAUAAUUGUAGAAGGGUUGUAGUUCGACUCUCGUACUCUACGAACUCCGAUCCCGCGUGCUACGGCUAUGCACAACAAUUUUAGAGCCAAAUUAGGCUUUAUUCUACAAACUCAUAUCUAGUCUUUUCGUUUCCCCGAACGGAGUUGUCCCACGCGUCGGGAAUACCCCUAAUUAGGUUUUCAGGAGGUCAAUUUAUCUCGAGAACAUCCGGAGGCAAAAGUCCCAAAAUUUAUGCCCUAACAAUGUCAUAUAGGUUUUCCUCUUAGAUUAAUCUCAUUCCUAAGCAAAAGCUAGCUUAGAAUCAACUAGGAAGCAUUCUAAUACCAUCACUAAGCCAUUCCAAGCAUCCCUAGGAUAUCUACUUUAAACCCUAGGUGUUCACCAUUAGAGUACAUGAAGCUCCCAUAGGUUUCAUGGUGUUCAUGGCCCUAAAGGGUUUCUAAAGCCUCUAAGAAGCUCAAAACUCUAAAACUUAAGGUUUAAAACUAAACCCUAGAAGUAAUCUUGCAAGAACUCACCUCUAGUCCUAAGCUCUACCAAGUCCUCUUUGUUGGAGAGCUUCUAGAACUACCAAAACCUCCAAAAUCCACCUCCAAUGCCUACCAAGCCUUCUCCUCCUUGCUCUAGGACACAAUCUCUAAAGAGAGAGAGGGAAAUGAAGUGGAGAGGAGAGAAGGGGCUGCUGCUGUGAAGGGAGGUGUUUGGGGAUAUAUAUGGUAUGCUACAAUUGCAACUAACCCCCCCAAAUAUCCCUAUUUACAACAGAUCUUAUUGUUGCUGCCAAACCAAAGUGUACCGGUACACGGGACUCUGUCACCGGUAACACGAUUAUGCAGAGGCAAACCCGAGAGCAGCCUCUUCGGAUUUUAUCAAAGUGUACCGGUACACAUCAGAGGUGUACCGGUACAUUUCUGCGAAAACUCAAACCCGAGAGCAGCUUCCUCUCGGGGUACCGGUUACAACUCGAUGGUUGUACCGGUACACAUGCACCAGAAUGUAGUUUUAGCUUCGAUUCGACUCUACGAUGCUAAAACCUUUCUAAUAUCUCUUAAACUCAUUUUUAACCAUUCCAACAUUGUUGGAAUGCUAAAUGCAACUUGUCCAUCUAUCUUUUUCACAUACUUUAGUCAAUUUGGCUAAAGUUCGAUAAUCAUUCUCGAGAUUUCAAUAUGUUACAAUCAGAUUCUUAACUGCUAAACUAAAAAUUAUAGUGUGUGUUGGGGGGGCCAAUAUGUAAACCCUUUGCAUCCCUUCAUUCAUGCACUCAAAUCUGAGAGAGAGAGAGAGGUGGAAGUCUUCUCUCUUUCUCUCUUUCUUUCUUUCUCUCUAGCUCUCAUCACUCUCUCCCUCUCUUGUAGCUCUCCACCAAAGAGAGGAAGUUGGAGGAGAUUAAGUUGGAGAAGAAGCUUAAUGGUGAAGCAAGCUCUCCAAUGGUGGAUCCAGCUUCUUUCCCAAGGUGGCCAUGGUGAGUUUUGUGAUUCAAGCUAGGGUUUGGAUUAAAUCUCUUGUAAAUGAGAUAUUUAGGAACUCUAGAUGAUUCUAAACUAGAUUGGCUAAAGUUUAAUCAUGAAAUUUGAAGUAUUCUUAUAAAACUUAAACCCUAGACUUAGAAAUUGGGGCUCGUCUCUAAGAGGUUUUGAACUAAAUUGACCUUCUAAAACCUUAAUUGAAGGACAAUUCGACGCGAAGGACAACUUCGUUUUGAAUUGCGACGAGGUUAUGGCGUCCGAUUGAGAGAUUUGCGGAAUUGCGUUCGUUAGGCUUGGGUCGAGGUGAAUCGGCAUUGGAAAUCGAAUUGCGGAAAUCCUAGCAUUCGGUAAUGAAACGAGGUGGGUGGUGCUAUCCGAAAUGGUUGGAUUUCUCCCUAUGUCUGAUUCCUUUUAUUGAGCAUAUAACAUUGUACUUGUGCUACGCCGUGCAAAUACAGGGGAGACUCUGUUCGUAUGAAUAAUGGACUCCCUGUAUUUGUGGCAGAUUUAGCAUACCCUAGGGUCAGGUUUUUCAAAAAAAAAAAAAAAAAUUUGGGCAUUUCCUCGUUGGAUUUAAAAUCCAAAGGGACCUCGGGCCGUGACAUUUCCUAAGUGAAAAUUCGAUGUACUUGUUUUGUUGAGCCUUGGGCAGAUAGGAAAAACUCUGUUCAUUCGGUGAUCUGUGCGCACGCUCGGACCGACCAAAUCGGCGGUCGCGGGGCGUGACACCUAAGGAUGGCAAGGUGAAUAGAUAUGCAUCGGGUUGAAUGUUUGCAGAUUGUGGUGAAUGUAUAUAGUGAGUUGUGUAUAAACGUGUGAAUGUACAUGGUUGGUACGCCAUGCAAAUACAGAAGAGAUUCUGUCUACAUGGACAGAGAAAUUUUGUAUUUGUGGCGGGUCUAUAUGUCUCUGUUAGAUGUAUGCCCUAGAAGCCAACCAGGCCGACACAUGUAUUCUUUUUAGAACAUAAAUUUGUAUUUGACUUUAAAAUAUUAUGAAUAAAUUUGGGUUCUUAUUUUCAUUCAUGUUGUGCAGGUGUCCAUGAAUCGUCCAAGGAAUCAAUAAGAUAAUGAAAUAUAUUUUCAAGAGUUGAGAAUUUGAGACAUGUGUCAUUGGUUGUUAAUUCCUAAAUGCUCCCGAUCAAUGGAUUAUCAUGGGGACGGUGAUUGAUCCGGUGAGAUUGGUGCAUAGGUCGCUUUCUUUUUUGGAGAGACGAGUCUCGAGUCGACAGUGUGGGGACACUGAAGCGAAUAUGCUGGUGGUUGUUAGAGAACGAGGGUACCGAGUGUGACCAACGCAAGAAGUCACUUGGAUGUCUACUCACUCGUAAAUGACUUACUCAAUGUUGCAGUAGUGUGACUGGUCCUUUGACCUACGGUGCCUCGGCUAUUCACAAUGAGGUUACUGUAGUUUGACUGUACAUACACUUGGUCCCUAGCCAUCACUAUUAGAAAAUUACUCAUUAGUGGCAUUUAUUUAUGCUGCUAAAUGAUCAACAAAUGCUGUUAAAAGUUUUAGCAACAUAUGACACCAAAUGUUGUCUAUCCUAAUGUUGCUAAAAGUAUUAGCAGCAUUUAUUAUAAAUGUCGCCAAUGUAAAUCAAUUAGUGUCAUUAGGAACAUGCCACUAAAAGGGAUUAAAUGUUAAUUUUUAAUUGUUUAUUAGUGGCACAUAAAUAUAAUGCCGCUAACGCAAAUAUCCGAUUUUAGAAAUUAAAAUUUUAAAAUUUUAAUUUUAUUGAGAUGCUACUCGCUUCGUUUAUUUCUUUUAGAAAUAAACUUUGCUGAAAAUAUGAAUCAACUAGGAUUCGAACUUGAGACCUCAAGUACCAACCACCAAACCCUUUGCCACUUGCACUAACGAUUAUUAGUUAUGUAUAUUUUAAUUUUUUAAAUUUUAAAUCUUCUUUUUUUAAAUUUUAAAAUUUUAAAUUCUAAAUUUUUAAAUUUAGAUACUAAAUUUAAACUUUUAAUUUUCAAAUAUCAAAUUUUAAGUUUCAAAAUUAAUAGUUUUAAAUUUGAAAUUUUAAAUUUGAAAUGAAUUUAAAAAUUUAAAUUUUAAAAAUUAAAAAUUAAAAAUUUUAGAAUUGAAAAUUUAAAAUAUAAAUUUUAAAAUUUUAAAAUUUAAAUUAUAAGUUUAAUUUUUAAACUUAUAUAUUUCGAAUUUUAAACUUUAAUUUUUAAAUUUUUAAUUCUAAAUAAAAAUAGAUUUAUUAAUAAUUAUAUAUUAAUUAGUAAUGAUAUUUAGUAACAAGUACUGCUAGUUUAUUAUAUUUAGCGGCAUUCACUAAUUUAUGCUGCUAAUUUAUCCUAUUUUGCAAUAUUAAUAGUAAAUUGCUGCUAAAUAAUUAAAUCUAGCGGCAAUUAUCAAGUAAUACUGCUAAAUAUAUUAAUUGGCAUGAUUUAAAUAAAUAUUGCGGAGCAAAUAUUGCGGCAUUUAGCAAUAAGUGCUACUACUUUAUUACAUUUAGUGUCAAUUUUUAUAAAAUACUGGAAACUUCAAUGGCAUUCACUAAUUUAUGCUGCUAAUUUAUUCUAUUUUGCAACAUUAAUAGUAAAUUGCUGCUAAAUUAUUAAAUCUAGCAGCACUUAUCAAGUAAUGCUGUUAAAUAUAUUAAUUAGCAUUAUUUAAAUAAAUUUUGCGGAGUAAAUGCCGCUAAAUUAUGAAUUUGUUUUAGUGCAUUCGGAUCCUUACGAUGCAUGUUGGCUGCAGUAGGUUCAUUGUAGGAAUAGGAUAUGCACUUAUAUCGAAUCUAUCUCUCUUGGUAGAUAGGGGUGUUAGUCCUAUGUGAUUUAUGAGACCGAGUUUAGAAGACCUUGGCCAGGGCAGAGUUAAUAGCGGAAAAUGGUUUCCGAUAUUAGAAACUCGAAUCGAAUAAAUUUGACAUAUGACAGAUGAUAGGGUUUGACGAGUUACUCCAUCACCUCCGUCUAGUCGGGACUCAUGAUAGGGACUCAUGAUAGAAGGACUGUAUCACACGGUAACUACACUAAGAGAUUCAGUAUUCCAUUCUACUAGAAUGCUACUACAUGCUGCUAGGGUGUCACUGGUGGAUUGUGAGACUUAUGAGGAUUAUCUAGAUGAUCGAUAAUUCUUAUUGGACUGAGUUGGAAUUGUUCCGAUCCAGUAGAAAGAGUUUCAGUGAUAUUGUUGAUAGUGAUCAAAAUAUAUCUCACUACCAGAUAGAAUAGAACCUAUGGGGGUCACACACAUAAGAGGUUGUGAUUGAUCGGAUAGCUAGAUUGUAAUUAUUGAAUUGCCGGAAGACCUAACUAUCAAUAUGUUGAUAAUUGGACUAAUUUAUAAUUAUUACAAAUUAGUGGUAUUAAAGUGUAAAUGUUACUAGAGAUAACUUACUAAUAGUUAGUAAAUUAUAAGAGUACUUAUGUGCAAAUAUUGCAUUAUUAAUUUGAUAUGAUCAAAUUAAGAUAAACUUCAAGUCGAAUCAAAUUAGGAUUUGAUCGAUCUAACCAAUUAAGGAAAGUAUAAAUUUAAAUAUAGAUUUGUUCUUAUCCUUAAGGGCACGUUUGGUUCGCACUAUGGAAGAUUAAUAGGAGUAAAAAGAUAUCCGAGAAUCUUAUUCCUAUUCAUCCUAUUACUAAGAAUGUGGCAUUCAUGUGUUUGGUUCGCACGGUCAUAUUAUUUAGUCAAGUUAUUUAAGUUUACAAAAAAUAUACAAUUAAUUUAUUUAUUUCUUUAAUUAAUUUUAGAUAAUGUUACCAAAUAUUUCAACAUCUUUUAAGAAAAAAUGGAUAGAAAAUAUAGGUUAGAGAGAGAGAGCAUAAUUAAAUAAUAGGAAGAGAAAUAGAGUACUCGAGAUUAGAGGGAGUGAGGGAGUUGAAAUUUUAGAAAAAGAGGGGGAGAGAGAGAAAAAGAGUUGAAGUUUAGAGAGAAAAAGAUAAGUUUAGAGAAAAGAUAUGAGGUUAGAGUGUAAAGGAUAAUAAUACUAACUAGCCGGCGGGUAGGGAGAAAGAAAGAGAUUAGACAUAUUAUGAUUACCCAAUUCAUUAAUAUGAGGAUACCCACUCUCCCGUAAGGGAAUGAGAUUAGUACUUUGGGAUGAAUCUCAUUCCCAAGUGAAUCUAAUAUUACCAACUAGAUUACUUAGUGCCUUUAGCCAAACACCGUCGUAUUUUUUUAUUCCAUUGCAUUACUAGGAAUAUUAAAAAGAUAGCGCGAACCAAGCGCACCCUAAUGGUUAUUAUAUUACUAAAAUAGGAUUAUAUAUUCCUCUAUAUAAUAUACGGGAGUUUUUAGAAAACCCUAGCCGUCAUCUCUCUUCUCCUCUGUCUUCCAUCUUCUAGCAAGAAAGAUGUCUUUUUGCAAAGGAGCUAGCACCCCGGUGAGGACAUCGAUCAAAUCAAGAACCUCGUGUGGAUACCUAUAGAGGCCGGACGCGUGUGCGGCUUCAAGAGAACCCAAUUUCAUGAUCAUCAAAUUGAGGUGAAGAUCUAACAGUAGAAAAGCAAAAGAUUCUAUCUUGCUUUUUUUUUUAAUCUUAAAACAUGAGGGAUCCUAAUUGCGUGGUUUCUGAGAUUGGAUCUCGAGAGUUUUCAAAAUCAAAUUUGUUUGAUUUUUUUUUUUGCGGCGUUUUUACCGUACGCAAUUUUCUCACAAUCUCGUGUGCAAGGCUGGUUUCAAAAAAAAAAAAAAUGUGGAUAAUUUUUCGCAAGUCUGAUAUUUCGAACGGCACCUAUUACAUAAAGGUUUUACAAAAAAGGCCCCCGGGCGUGACAACAACCCACCUUAGUUUGUUGCUAAUUGAUAGUAAACUCAAGCAAUAAGGAAUCCAGUUUCACCUCGAAAUAUUUGAAUGCUCCCUAAACACCAUUGUGGCUAUCCAAAUAGUCUCCGUUGCUAUUCUUCACUGGAACUCUGGUAUUUGCGAAAGUUCAGUACAUUACAAAGACCAUGAUAAGGAUGUUGCAGAGUAGCUAGAUUGUGCAAGUCGGUCUAGUGGAUACAUUUUAUAUGAACAAACAAAAUUAUACUAUUUUUAAAAAAUUAAAAUAUUGUAAAACCUUAAGAGAAUAAAAUAUAAUGGGCUUAAAUGUAGUACUAUUACUCUAAUGUUUCAUAUAUCGACAUAAUGUAUGAUUUAUACAGAUUAGUAUAUAUCAUGCACUUCGUGUGAGUAGAAAAAAUUUUGCACGUUCAGCGGAUCUGUUGCAUGUGAGUGAGCAAAUCCAAGUGACAGGACUUGGAGCGUGACACAAACUAUAAGUCAUGUGAUAUUUUGCUUUUAAAGUUUAAUUUAUUUUAUUAUUUGACCUAAGUUUUUUAAAUUACUGCUAACUUAAUUGUAGAGCGUGUUUGGUUCACCUAUUUUUUCAUCCGGAAUCGGAAUCGAAAUAGACGAAUCCGUUUGUUCGUAUUUGGUAUGCGAGAUUUCCAUUUCGAUUCCGAUUCCGGGUGAAUGGGAAUCCCCCCAUUUACCCUUUUUUCCAAUCCGGCUUAUAAGGCCGGAUUGGAUAUUGAAUUCGGGCAAAAUGAAUUUGUUCGAAUUAAAUUUAACUUUUUUAAGUUUAUUUUUUAAUUAAAACAUAAUUUGAAUUAAAAUAUUAUAUUUAUACAUUUAAAUUUAAAUUUGAACCUAAAUUAAAAAUUAAAAUUUAAUCAAGAGUUUUGAAUCUAAUUUAUAAAUUUGAAUUUAAAUUUAAAUUUAAAAUUUUAUUCAAUUUUUAUUUAAAAUUUAAAUUAAAAUUACGGAUUAAAAUUGAAAUUUAAAUUAUAAUUUUAAGUUAGAAUUUGAAUAAAUCAAAAUUUAGUUUUAUAUUUUGAAUUAUCUAUUUAAUUUCAAAUUUUAAUUUUUUUAAAAAAUAUAUUUAAAAUUUGAUAUCAUUUUAAAAUUUUGACAUAAAUUUUUAAAAAUUAUUUGAAUUUAAACUAAUAUAUUAUAAAGAUAAAAUUGACAUAUUAAUUUAACCACGUUUUUGAUAUUUAUCUGAACCAAACACCGACAAUGAGAAUGAUUUAUUCUAAAUCCGAUUCAAACGGCGAACCAAAUAGAAUGAUGUAAUGAAUCAUUCUGACUCCAUGUCACGCCCCGGGGUCCCUUUCGGUUUAAGAGAUAGCGGAAAAGCGUCUGAAAUUUUUUUUUUGAAAAUCCUGACCCCAGAGUAUGUCAGAUCCGCCACAAAUAUAGGAGAUCCACUAUUCACACGGACAGAGUCUCCCCUGUAUUUGCACGGCGUCGCACAAGUACAAGAAUACAACCAGGAUACAACCACAACUAGAUGAAUAUAAAGAUUACUAUACAUUCAUACAUUCACCAUUCACAUCACAGUUUUACAUUCAAUGUUAAAACAGAAAUCCAUGAAAAAUCCUUUUGAAAACUGUUUCCUACACGGAAACCUUUAUUCUUUAAAAACGCUAUCACGAGGGGUAGAAAACCUUUUAUUACAUUCAUGAAAAUCCACAUAUUCAAAUGUAAUAAAAAUAUUGAACCAUAUAAACUAUCUAAGCUAUAUAUCAACAGAAAUAAAAAGGGUAAGAGCUAAACCGAACGACCUGGGUCGGAAGAUCUAUCGACCGCUACGUACGUGUCUCACGUCUUGUCUGAA